rnacentral:rRNA from 1 species
UACGUAGGUGGCAAGCGUUGUCCGGAUUUACUGGGUGUAAAGGGCGUGUAGCCGGGCUGAUAAGUCAGAUGUGAAAUCCGGGGGCUCAACCCCCGAACUGCAUUUGAAACUGUUGGUCUUGAGUAUCGGAGAGGCAGGCGGAAUUCCUAGUGUAGCGGUGAAAUGCGUAGAUAUUAGGAGGAACACCAGUGGCGAAGGCGGCCUGCUGGACGACAACUGACGGUGAGGCGCGAAAGCGUGGGGAGCAAACAGG